UCGGGAAUUUUGGGCAAUGGGCGAAAGCCUGACCCAGCAACGCCGCGUGAGGGAUGAAGUAUUUCGGUAUGUAAACCUCGAAAGAAUGGGAAGAAUAAAUGACGGUACCAUUUAUAAGCUCCGGCUAACUACGUGCCAGCAGCCGCGGUAAUACGUAGGGAGCAAGCGUCGUUCGGAUUUACGGGGCGUAAAGGGCGCGUAGGCGGCGCGGUAAGUCACUUGUGAAAUCUCUGAGCUUAACUCAGAACGGCCAAGUGAUACUGCUGUGCUAGAGUGCGGAAGAGGCAACCGGAAUUCUUGGUGUAGCGGUGAAAUGCGUAGAUAUCAAGAGGAACACCUGAGGCGAAGGCGGGUUGCUGGGCCGACACUGACGCUGAUGCGCGAAAGCCAGGGGAGCAAACG
rnacentral:rRNA from 1 species